rnacentral:rRNA from 1 species
GAAGUUAAACGGCCGCGGUAUCCUGACCGUGCAAAGGUAGCAUAAUCACUUGUUCCUUAAUUAGGGACUAGAAUGAAUGGCUAAACGAGGGUUCUACUGUCUCUUAUUCUCAAUCAGUGAAAUUGACCUUCCAGUGAAGAGGCUGGAAUGAUAAAAUAAGACGAGAAGACCCUAUGGAGCUUAAAUUAACUAGCUUAACUAUUAAAAUAUAACCCAAAUGGACUAAACAUAAAAAAAAAUAAGCUAGCAAUUUCGGUUGGGGUGACCUCGGAGAAUAAAAAAUCCUCCGAAUGAUUCUAGCAUAGACUGACAAGUCAAAGUAACAGUUAAAAUCUUAUUGAUCCAAUUCUAUUGAUCAACGGACCAAGUUACCCUAGGGAUAACAGCGCAAUCCUAUUUAAGAGUUCAUAUCGACAAUAAGGGUUUACGACCUCGAUGUUGGAUCAGGACAUCCCAA